CUGCAGAUGUCUGACACCCCUCCUGUUAAUUUAUUUUCACCCAUGAGCUAUGCCGAGCGAUACAUUCAAGAAAGCUAAGAGGGAAAGAAAGAGACGAAGUGGCUUAACACUGAUGUCACAAUCCUGUUAGUCAGCAAGCACUUAGCAACUGUUAGAAGCUUGACCUCUCUUGCGGUUGCCGUCCUUACUGUUGAUGGCAAACAAGAAAGAGAGAAGGAAUUUUGAUGGAUGAUGCUACGCUGAAGUUCCACGACGUUAUUCCUGGUGGAAUUAUUUCAUUAUGUAUCUGGCACUAUGAUGGAUGGACGGAACUGGUUUUGGCGGCUGUGGAAGGGGAUUCCACUGGCUUGCCUCGGUGUUGCUGAAGACACUUUCUACCGAACUGCAAAUUCGGGGCGUUUUGACGACAGGCAGUGGAAGAAGUGGAUUUCCCAGAGAGCGUUCGUGGCCUUGUAUGUUGCCUCACACAGGGGUCACUCGGAGGCUGUGCAGUACCUUCUAGAACAUGUGGUAUUUGUUACCCAGAAUUUGAUUCAAUUCAACAAGUCUAUAUUGGACACCUGUCAUUAGCCCACCCAUCUGUGGGAGGCAGUGAGGGAUUCAAGCCAUGUGAAGUCUGUCCGUGAGUCAGGCUGCUCAGCCUCUGACAUCUUCCAGGCGCCCGUCUUCUCCAGGCAUCGCCCAGGCUACGUGCCGGGGAUGAAAACAGCAAUGAUCAAAACAAGCAUGUUUUCUGCCCAUGUGGAGUUUAUGAAGGGAAGUCAGCAAAUUAUUACAAAUAAUUAAUUCCAUGGUCAGUCGUGCGCGGAAUGUUCUGGAGACGCAGAACAUCUAUUGAACGAAAUGCAGGGGCUCCCCAGACGGCUCAGGGGUAAAGAACCGUCCUACAUAGGUAGAUGCAAGAGAUGUGGGUUCAGUUAUUGGGGUGGGAAGGUCCCCUGGAGGAGGGCAUGGGAACCCACUCCAGCAUUCUUGCCUGCAGAAUGCCAGGGACAGUGGAGCCUGGCGGGGUGCAGUCUGCGGCGUCACAAAGAGUCAGAUAUGACUAAACUGUGCACAGGGGGGUUCUGGGGGAGGAGGACUAAGGAGCGGUUUCCUGAGGAAGUGAAUGAAACCUCAAGAAACAUAGAGUUACCCCAAGGGGGGAGAGAAAAGUAUGAGAGUGUUUUUAGCAAAGGAAACAGCAUGUGCAAAGAUCCUGAGGCAAGAUAAGGGAGUAGGUGUGUUGCAAGGAUAAAGCCAGAAGGCUGGUGUAAGUGAAGCAUGGAG
ensembl:lncRNA